UACGUAGGUGGCAAGCGUUGUCCGGAUUUACUGGGCGUAAAGAGCGCGCAGGCGGUCAUUCAAGUCGCGUGUGAAAGCCCCCGGCUCAACUGGGGAGGGUCACGCGAUACUGAUCGACUCGAAGGCAGGAGAGGGUAGUGGAAUUCCCGGUGUAGUGGUGAAAUGCGUAGAUAUCGGGAGGAACACCGGUGGCGAAGGCGGCUACCUGGACCGGUACUGACGCUGAGGCGCGAAAGCUAGGGUAGCAAACAGG
rnacentral:rRNA from 1 species